rnacentral:rRNA from 1 species
GGGAACAACAGCUGGAAACGGCUGCUAAUACCCCAUAGGCUGAGGAGCAAAAGGAGGAAUCCGCCCAAGGAGGGGCUCGCGUCUGAUUAGUUAGUUGGUGAGGCAAUGGCUUACCAAGGCGACAUCAGUAGCUGGUCCGAGAGGAUGAUCAGCCACACUGGGACUGAGACACGGCCCAGACUCCUACGGGAGGCAGCAGUGGGGAAUUUUCCGCAUUGGGCGAAAGCCUGACGGAGCAAUGCCGGGUGAAGGC